rnacentral:tRNA from 1 species
AGCCGAUAUCGCUGAGCAGGUGCAGUCGCACUCUCAUGAGGUGCGGCCCGGGGUGUUCGAGGUGAUCAUCGAUGGC